rnacentral:tRNA from 1 species
GGACCCUUAGCUCAGUGGAUAGAGCAACCGCCUUCUAAGCGGUCGGUCACAGGUUCAAAUCCUGUAGGGUCCGCUA